AGAGUUGUAUCCUGGCUCAGGAUGAACGCUAGCGGCAGGCCUAACACAUGCAAGUCGAACGGUAACAGGGAUUGCUUGCAAUCCGCUGACGAGUGGCGCACGGGUGCGUAACGCGUAUGCAAUCUGCCUAUAACUGAGGGAUAGCCCAGAGAAAUUUGGAUUAAUACCUCAUAAUAUUGUUUUUUGGCAUCAUUAAACAAUUAAAACUUCGGUGGUUAUAGAUGAGCAUGCGUCCUAUUAGCUUGUUGGUAAGGUAACGGCUUACCAAGGCAACGAUAGGUAGGGGGCCUGAAAGGGUGAUCCCCCACACUGGUACUGAGACACGGACCAGACUCCUACGGGAGGCAGCAGUGAGGAAUAUUGCGCAAUGGAGGAAACUCUGACGCAGCCAUGCCGCGUGCAGGAAGACGGCCCUACGGGUUGUAAACUGCUUUUAUAUAGGAAGAAACCCCGAUACGUGUAUCGGCUUGACGGUACUAUAUGAAUAAGGACCGGCUAACUCCGUGCCAGCAGCCGCGGUAAUACGGAGGGUCCAAGCGUUAUCCGGAUUUAUUAGGUUUAAAGGGUCCGCAGGCGGGAUUUUAAGUCAGUGGUGAAAGCCUACAGCUCAACUGUAGAACUGCCAUUGAUACUGAUAUCCUUGAGUGUGGUUGAAGUGGGCGGAACAUGUCAUGUAGCGGUGAAAUGCAUAGAUAUGACAUAGAACACCAAUUGCGAAGGCAGCUCACUAAGCCAUUACUGACGCUGAGGGACGAAAGCGUGGGGAGCGAACAGGAUUAGAUACCCUGGUAG
rnacentral:rRNA from 1 species